GAGAGCCCGGCGUGAGCCAAAAUGGAAAUGGGCGGUCCGAACGGUUUCGACAGUGGAGGAAGUGGGAGCCAUCCGAGUUGUGACAACCACGGUGGCGGGUGCCCGGCCGGAAGGAAGCACACAUCAAGAGUACAGUACGAAAGGCCUUUCCGCAAAGGGGGGGGGGGGCAAACGGCAAACAAUGACCCUUCGGGGCGUGUAUAUAUUGUGCUUCGCAUCAGUUUGGCCACGUCUCGCGCAGUACAGAGAGUGGCACGUAACGCCACUGACCAGCCAAGUGCAAACUUGUAG
ensembl:ncRNA T14F9.11 ncRNA